rnacentral:hammerhead_ribozyme from 1 species
AUCCAGUUGACAAGUCCCAAAUAGAACGUAACUCGCGUCCUGGAU